rnacentral:rRNA from 1 species
UACGUAGGGUGCAAGCGUUAAUCGGAAUUACUGGGCGUAAAGCGUGCGCAGGCGGUUUUGUAAGUUUGUCGUGAAAGCCCCGGGCUCAACCUGGGAAUUGCGAUGAAGACUGCAAGGCUUGAAUCUGGCAGAGGGGGGUAGAAUUCCACGUGUAGCAGUGAAAUGCGUAGAGAUGUGGAGGAACACCGAUGGCGAAGGCAACCCCCCUGGGUCAAGAUUGACGCUCAUGCACGAAAGCGUGGGGAGCAAACAGG